CCACGGUCUGUUCAGCACUCUACUGUGUAUGUGGAGAACUGGUGGACCAGUAGAACAGCUCAAUGUGCUAAUUUGUGUUGACCAUUUAUUACAGGGCUGGAAGUGUCAAAGUUGGCACCAUGUUUGAGACUGUGUGUGAGACAUACCAGUACUGAGUGCAUCCCCAUGUAGAUCCGGCUGGAGCAGACCAAUAGACACCAACAGAGAGCCAAGCUGAAACCGAGGGUGUAAGGGUACUGCAGAGAUGAGAGGAGGCACACUUCAAAUGGGAACAUCCUUAUCCAAUAAUGGCGUUUCCUGUUACCCAAAUCACCCUGAUAAAAAGUUUAUAUAACCAGAUGUUUUGGCCAUGAGACGCACACAAGUAGAUGCAUAUGGGUUUGAAUAUCCUUAAACCCAUCCUCAUCCAUGAUCUAUUUCUUGUAAUUAGUAUGUCUCAAAGUUCUUUGCAGGAAUGCACUGAUGUUAUUGCAUUCAAAACCACAACAAAGACAAAA